GAAGAAACCAGCAGCAGAGAAACCAACUGAAGAGAAGAAAGUUGUUGCUGAAAAAGGUCCCGCUGAGAAGAAACCUAAAGCCGGAAAGAAGUUGCCAAAGGAAGGCGGCGCUGCUGCAUCUGGUGAUAAGAAGAAGAAGAGAUCUAAGAAGAAUGUUGAAACCUACAAGAUCUAUAUCUUUAAGGUUUUGAAGCAAGUUCACCCUGACAUCGGUAUCUCAAGCAAAGCUAUGGGGAUUAUGAACAGUUUCAUCAACGACAUCUUCGAGAAAUUGGCUCAAGAAUCAUCUCGACUUGCUCGUUAUAACAAGAAGCCUACCAUCACUUCUCGGGAGAUUCAAACUGCUGUUCGUCUUGUUCUUCCUGGUGAAUUGGCUAAGCAUGCUGUUUCUGAGGGUACUAAGGCUGUCACUAAGUUCACUAGUUCUUGAAAAAAAUCAAUUUAGGGUUUUCUCAAAUCUCUAAUUGUAUGUUGCUUUACUAGUUUGAUGUUGAAAGUAUCUUUAUAAAGUCUAUGGUAGUGAUGUAAUUAGUUGAUUUCAAACUCAGUGAUGAUGAAUAGUUGAAUGAAAACUAGGGUUUCAAUAUAUUGCUCACAUCUUCUGUUUCUUUGUGGAAUUUUUAAUCUCUGAUUACUUUGUAUUGAUGAAGCUUUGAUCAAUUCAACUGAAAGCAAAAAUUUAAUUUCAUAAAUUUCAAGUUUUCCCCUGAUUUGGUCUUUAGAUGUGAUUUCUCAGACUUCAAUGAAUCCCUAGUGGUUAUGAUGAAUUUUUUUAUGAAUGCUCAGUGUUUAUGGUCAUUAUUAUUGUUGCUUCUCCACAAUCAUGAACUAUAAUUUUGUUAUAUAUUAGAUUAGUAUUCAGGCUACCUUUUGAUCCUGCAAACAUGAAAUGAGUCUGGGCAUCCAUUUUAUGUCCUCUGCUCAUUAGCCAUUAGUAUGCUGAGAGAGUACACAAUUAAGAUGAGAGUGAGGAUGUUUCAUGCAAUGCUGAGUCUGUUUUUCAGUUUUCUCUUUUUGUGAGCUCUUAUAUUUGAAAGUUAGUAUAAUCAAAACUAUCGAUGUUUUUGUAUUUUUGGAAUGUAGUAGAGAAACUACUGAUUGAUUAGUUUACCUUUAUCUAAUAUACUUCAAAGGUGACACGGAGAAGGCCAGAAGUGCCUCAUUGGCAUUCUCAAGCUCCGCAGAUUCUCAAUUCUAAGAUUUUGUCAUAUUAUUUCAGUCGAUUGUUUGUGCUCCAGGACUCAGUUUUGUCCCUUUGAAAUUAAUGAUCACCCUUUCCAUUUCUCUCAUUAUCUCUUCUGGUCUCUCAUAGUCUCUUCUGGUCACUCUUUGUUGCUCAAUAAAGCGCCAACGGCCAACCAACGGCUUGUAGGAAUCAUAAGUAUUUUGUGGGAACAAGGAAUCGGGGGACAUCUGAAUUCCUGAUCUUAAACAUGUUCCAUGAUCAUGGGCAAUCAAUGGCCUCAUUGGAGAGCAUGGACCUCGGUUGAGCUCUCCUGGCAGUAAAGGUAUGUAAGUUUCUUAUGAAUGUUUGCAUAUACGUAUAGUAUAAUACAGAAAUCAGAAUGGUAUGGUCUCUUUGUUGUAUAUAGGAAAUUAUUUAUACUAGAUUGUUUGUGGAAUUUUUUCCUAAUCAUGCGUUAGAUGGUCACUUUAUUGCAUCUCAUUACCAACAACCGCAAACACUUAGUUUAAAAGUUAAUUUUUGAUUGUUAAUGCGGAUUUGGUUGGUUAAAUUUCUUUUAAUAGAUAAUAUGUAUUGGUAUUACAUAAGCAUUACCAUGUAUUGCAACUUUGGAUUGGUUUUACAGUAUACAUUUAUUAAUAAACAUAACAGAAUAGUAGGCAAAUGAAGGAAAAACUUAAGGACAUUCCCUGAAAAAAUAAAUAGGUUUUCCAAACUGUUUGUUACACGAAGAAAUUUACAUCCGUAACAUGCAAUCCUCAUUUUGAGCAGACAUCGAGUUAGUUGGAAUAUGGUAUAUCAAUUUGUUAUUAGUACAUCGUAAAUUGAAAAUAAACUCUUGUGUUACAUUUUUCUUUUUGGUGUAGCCAAAUGAAUUCAUUCUUCUUUGCAGGUUUUGGGCUCACAUACUGAUGGCUUAUGUUUUCACCUUUUGGAUAUGUUAUGUUCUGCACAAGGAGUAUGGACUUGUAGCAUCAAUGAGUUUGCAUUUUCUUGCAUCGGCACAAUGUCGUCUAGAUCAGUUUACAGUAAGUUUGAUCUCCUCUUUUUUUAUCAACUUACUUGAACUAUAUGAUUGUAAUAACAGUUUAAAGAAAAAAUAUUUUCCUAGUUUAGGCGUUUAUUAUUUAUUUUAGUGUUUCUUUAAUUUAGUCCUUCCCACUUCCACGAUUUCUUGAAAUCAGUGUGACUUCAAGUUUCAAACUGUGAUAUUGACUCUAUUAUAGGCGUCACUUCUCAGUUUCUCGACUCUAUAAGGGUCUUGAGAGUUUCUGGGAUAUAUGAAUAUAUCUGUGGCCUUUCUAUGUGAAUAUGUUCGAUCCUUUACUUAUGUCAAGUAUAGUAUGAUCCUCUCUUUUGCCCUAUAACUAGGUUUAUUUUCUCCACAUAUAUGAUUUUGUUUCUUAAAGCGAUCCUUUUUCAUAUUCAUAGUCUCUUGAGUCUUGACUCUUUGAUGGCAUGAGACCUUAUCCCGACUUUAUACGUGAAUUUUUAUGACUAGUAUAGUAUAAGUUCCUCUCUGGUGCCCUAUAGUUUACUUCCUCACAUACUGUAUUUGAUUUUGUUUAAAAGUUACUCACUGCAGAAUUCAUUAAGGAAUUGGCAAAUCUUGCGUCUCUUGAAGACAGAUACAAACUCUCUCCUAAUGUGGAUAGCAAUCUCUGCUAGUUAACAUUUCUAAUUCCACAUCGUAGUUAUUAAACCCCACCUCUGCUGAUGCCAAAAAAGAUUAAAGAAAAACUUCAGUAUUAAAUGUCAAGUUCCAGUCAUUAUUAUGUAUAUGUAGGAUUGGGGGUAAGGGAUGAAUAAAAGUCUUCACAUGAGUCGAUAUUUUUGGAGGAUGGUCGCAAUGUUGGGGAGAUCCUCCAAGCUGAAUAUCAGCCCUUAGUUCAUUGUGUCGCCUUACUGGUAAACAAUUGAUAUGUUCGCAAUGUCUGUACAUAUAUGUUUGCAUGGGUGCACAUGUGCCCAUGCAUGUUUGUUAUCCCAAGUGGUCCCAUGUUAUUACUAGAGAAUCUGAAUUUCCGUUUUUUUUGUCUACUUUUACUCUUUUAUUCUGAUUGCUAUAUAUGGUUUUCAUUUAUAUUCUAGUUAAUUGAAUUUGUAGCUCACUAGCUCUGUUGUGGAAUUGGAUUAUUAAAAACCUGUGAAACUUUUUUGGAUUUAUCUGUUUCUGUUUUAUUAAUAUUCCCAUUUGUUCAAAGAGUGGUCUGAGAUAUGCUCUUCCGCAGGUCCUCUUGAGAAAUGUUCCACCAGAUCCUGACAAAACAGUUAGCGAGCUUGUGGAGCAUUUUUUUGUGGUUAACCAUCCUGCUCGCUAGCUCACCCAUCAGUUAGGGUUCCUAGUUUUUUGCUCGUCCAAACUCAAGCAUAAAAAUCGGAAUAGGAAAAAAAAAAACUUCAGCUUCUGGUAAAAGAAUCUAUAUUAUGUAUUGUAUUGCAUUAUUUCUAUGGCUGCCCUCUCAUUUGCCUCACUGUUAUUUUUCUCAACCAUAUACAUGUUUUCUCAUACCUUUCUUGUUCCACUAAACCAUUUACAUGCUUCUAUUUGCAGUCUAUCUGUUGAUCACAUGUUGACUUCUGUAAGAGGCACACCUAAAUUUAUAUCUCAGACGCUUAGGCUUGUCUUUGAAUUUGGCUUUUCCCUUGAAAAGCAUAUUGUAUUAUGAUCUUGAUUGUACUGCUUAUACUGUAUUUGAUUGAGAACUGGAGAUGUUUUUCGUUCUGUUCCGUAAUUAUAUAUUGGCGCACAGGUUGUGCACGAUGCAAACGAACUUGCAAAGUUGGUUAAGGAGAAGAAGAAGAUGCAGAAUUGGCUUGAUUACUAUCAACUUAAAUAUUCUAGAAACCAAUCUAAAAGGCCAACAGCGAAGGUUCUACUCACGAAAACUUCUGUUUGAUGUCACAAUCUAUUUAAACAGUAUAUUGGCUCUUCUUCUACUUCUUUAUAUCCAAGCUUCUAAAUGUUCCUUUAUUCUGCUUGUGUUUUGUCAUUGAUGUCUGUUAUUAUUUUUUUGUCAGACUGGCCUUUUAGGCCUUUGUGGAGAUAAAGUGGAUUCCAUUGAUUGUUACACCUCUGAGUUUGAGAAGAUAUCAAAGGAUGUAUGUGCUAAUCAUUUUUUUUUACGGUAGUCUUUUCAAGAAUUUAAUGGUGGUCAGAUAGGUCGUUAGAGGCAAUGUGGAAUUCUGCAUAAGUUAUUUGAUAUAUCAUUUGGCACUAUCCCAUAGUAAGCAUAUUUUGUAUGUCAUCACUGAAUCUAUAUAUAGCAGAGCGAGAAAGAGUUAGGAAUAAUCCCAAGUCUAUCAUGCCGGCAGCAUUUGUUUCCUUCAAAAGUCGAUAUGCUGCUGCUCUUUGUGCCACAAACUCAACAAACCAGAAAUCCCAGAAUUUGGUUAACAGAGUGGGGGAUGUAUAUUGGCACAAACUUGCAAUACCAUUUGUUACACUCACACUUCGGAGGCUGAUUAUAGCUGUUGCAUUCUUCUUCCUUACCUUCUUUUUUAUGAUCCCAAUAGCAUUUGUGCAGUCUUUAGCAAAAUUGCAGCAAUUGAGAAGGCAGUCCCAUUUUUGAAACCUAUAAUUGAAGCGUGAGUGUUCUACCGUUCUCUAGGUAUAGGACCAUAAUAACAUUUCAUCGUUAUUUGAAUGUUUUCUUACAGAAAAAUACUUGCUUAUUUUUGAAAAACUCUUAAAUAGUCAAUGACACAUUUUGUUGGUUUUUAUCUAUGAUGCAAAAUCUAGCUAUGAAAUUUAGAAAGUGCAUGGUGGAAACAUGUUAUUUUCUCGCAAUGCUAUUUUUAUCUUUAAUUUACCUUAAAUAUUGUUACAUUUCAAAUUUUAGUAACUAAGUAUGUAUUGAUAUGUCUGGAUGGGCAAACAUCUUUAUCAGACACUUGGACCCUUUCCCAUUCCACUAUUCCUUCAAGUCUGGCUUGAUGGGCAGAAUUCAGAUGUUAUUUUGUUUUCACUAUCUAACAAAACAUUAUUUAUCACACAUUUACAUGGAGAAUUCUGACUGACCACAUCAUACUCCUUAAUCUUUUUGUUGCGUUCUACCUUAUCCACUAUUAAUACAUAUGAUUAUACUAUUACACUUUCUGCAUAAGCUGACAGUGGGCUAUAAUACUGCUUGGUUAUGGUUAUUCUAAAUUUGCAUUUAUAUUUGGUUUUGUUAGAGGUUCAAUAUUUAUUUAUAAAUCCACCAUAUACGUGUGUACUUUUAAACUCUGACUUUCUAAGUAUGUCUCAAUAUACUUUUGAGGUGAACAUAAAUAAUGUAUUGUCUGCCGAUUUUGAUACUGUUGCAACUUGCAAGUUCUGUGUAUUGUUGUUCAGAAUAUUUUAUAGAAUUUAGCAUAGACUAACAGUAACUUGAAUUUUCUUGUAGGCAUGGCAUCAAGUCUAUCAUCCAAGGUUUUCUUCCAGGGAUUGCACUAAAAAUAUUCCUCAUUCUUUUGCCAACAAUAUUGAUAAUAAUGUCGAAAUUCGAAGGCUUUAUUUCUAUAUCGUCUCUGGAGAGAAGAUGUGCCACUAGAUAUCACCUUCUUAAGCUAGUCAAUGUAUUCCUUGGGAGCAUAGUUACUGGAGCUGCAUUGCAACAACUACAUACUUUCACCCAUGAGUCAGUGACUGAGUAUGUUCUCUAGCCACCUUUUGUAAUGUUGAUUAUAAUAUGUAAUGUUACUACGAUUAGAAGAUCUUACUCUCAAUAUGAAUCACUUUAUACCUUUACCAUUCAACUCAAUAUGCUCAAGAUUUUAUACAAGUGUAUGCCUCUGAGUCUACACAUGCAUUCACAGUUCACUUUUGUACUAAGGCCCUGCUUGGUUACCCCGCAAAAAUUUGCAUGAAAUUUAGCCUAAUUUAAUAUGCUUGAAACUCUUGAUAAUUAGUUUUAUGAACAAAAUUUAUGCAAAAGUUUGGUGCUAUUUCAAAAGUGCAAAAAUUUUACUCCUUUCUCUAAUAAACUUAGUAAGGGACCAUCUAUGAUUAUCUCAUGUUUAUGCAAGGUUUACGUGGGGGACCAAUAGGGUUUAAGCUAAAAUAGGUUGGGGACCAUUCAAAUCAAAGAGUAAACUUGGGAGGGACCACUCUAACAAUAGAUGGGUAAAGAUUUGCCUUUUUUGCAGCCCAAACAAGCAGGGCCUAAAUUACAACUUGUUGCAAGAUUAAUGAAGUUGUCAAAAAUCUCCAAAAUUUCGACGAAACCAUUUAUUCAUGGCUUCUCAAACUAUUCUUAUGAUGGCUUUCCAGCUGUCCAACCUUGGGUUUUACUGUUUUAUGGGUAGUAGUGUUUUUUUUUUUCGAUUUGUGGAGGUAUUUGUUAGUCUCAUCCUGAAGUUUUGCAGGAAGAAUAAGUCCAUUUUGUCUAACAGUGAUUGAUGAAGCAUUUUAGUUAGUAUUUUAUCAUUUGUUAUUCUAUUUCGAGUUAUUUCCGGCAUCAAUAAUCAUAAACUUGUUUGUCAAAAGUGAUAUCAUGUCUUCUUUUCAUUCUUUAUUGAAUUCUAACUUUUAAAAUGGGUGUAUUUUUUUCUACUACGUACUUCAUAAACUUCAUUAUGAUCUUCCUUGAUACUAUCAUGACUCUUGUUUAUAAUAUAAGUGCCACUUUAUUUGAAAUCAUAUAUAAAGUCUGUUGCUAAUUUACAUGUUAUUGUAGAUUAUAAACGUUUACAAUCAAGAAUAUGGGAGUGCAGCAUCAUUCUGGCCUGAUGUCCAUGAGUGUAUUGUUGUGGCAUUAGUUAUUGCACAGCUUCUGCUGAUGGGACUGUUAAGCACAAAAGAAGCAGCUCAGUCAACACCUUUCUUGUACUACCAGUAUUGGCGAUAUGGUUCCACAGAUUCUGCAAAAGCCGUUUCGAACCUGCAUUUAUUAGAUAUCCACUGCAGGUUUGUUUAAUAUUGAAGAUGUUUUAUAAGUUCUUUACUUUCUGUUAUUGCAUUGAGCCAUUGAUAGUAACAUAUCUGCAUGAUACCAGAUGGUUAUCAAUUUAUCAUACACCUUUGUUUGACAUUCAAAACGUUUUGUACAUUCUUUACUUUCUGUUAUUACAUUGAUAGAAACAUACGCCUUUUAUUAAAGCAGUUAGUUGUGAUAAUGCACUUGAAACAAUGCUCCCAUAAAGAUUUCCUUUAUGACAAGUUCACAAGUUCCUGAACAAAUUUAGGGUUAGGGUUUGUUUUCACUUUCAAAAUGUCUUUUGAUUUACUGGUUUGAUGUUGAAAGGUUCUCUAUGUCUGUGGUAGUGAUGUAAUUCACUGAUGAAAUAGCUACAGCUUAUUUGAAAUGAAAACUAGGGUUUUAUACUUUUGUCUCAAAUUUUCUGUUUCUUUGUUGAAUUGUUAUUUCUAAUCAUUUUGUCUGGAUUAAUUUUGGAAGUUCAUUGAUCUAAUUGCAAUCCAUAAAGCUAAAUAAGUUCGCCAAUAUUAGAAAUUCAUUGAUCUAGGGUUCAUUUAGGUAGUCCGUAGUUUAUAUGCUGAAUUGUUGUUAGGGGGAAUUGUGGAAUGUAUGCUGGACUUCCAAACAACCUAGAGUUUCAGAAAUUUCUGUCAAUGUUUGGCUUGUUUAUGUUGAUGAAGUUUAUAUGUUUGUUAAACAAAUUGGUACAGAACCGAAUUAGGUUUUUCAAAUUUCUUUGUGCUUAUGAGGUUCUGUUUCUGUGAUUUGAACUUAGUACCUACUCAGGGAUUCAAGUUUGUUACAGACCUUUCAGUUUGAUAUAGGAAUGUGCUCAAUACUUUUGUCAAAAUUGUGUGGCAAUUGAGAACAAAUCAACUUGGAAAAUAAAUAUACCAGUACAGUCUGCUACAUUCUUAUGAUUUGUCACUGUGCCUUGAACCCCUUCUCUUUCACCUGUCAUGAGGAAUCGUUAACCAAUAAGUCUGUAGGAUAGAGAACUUUUUAUUGGAAGCCAAGUGCAAAUUUUAUUUCUAGUUUCAAUUUAUUGGUUUCUGAUUAACAUCCAUGAACAAACCCAAGAAUCUCUGCAUCUCUUGUCCAAGACCCGAUCGCUAACAAUAUGUGUUAACCCACUUUAAGUAGUACAUGUUACCAACUUUCAGCUUCUGUGUUUUUUGUUUGCAGUUGCUUAAGAAGAAAGGUAGCUUAUUUUUAAAGAACAAAGCCUAGUGCCUUCCCAGUUCCUACACCUUGGCUUCUCUUAAAGUGUUCCUCUUUCAUUUCAAGCACUCAAUUCUCCAAAAGUAUCAGAGGAAGGUAGUUUUUAAGCUGGAAACCCCAGUUCCUCACGUUUGCACCAUGGUUUAUGUGGUUCUCGACCUUAAUCUGAAAUCACGCUGCUUGGCCACCAGGGCAUGAGUACAACUGCUCGCAUUGCCAUAUUGGACAAUACACUCUGGAUCAACACCAAGGCAUGGUGUGCAGACACAUCUACGGAUCAAUGCACUCUUUGUUGUGCCUUCGUGCAGGAAAUUACAAAUGUUUUUAACAAAAAUGCCGUGAUAUAAACCGAAUCAUAGAGAUCGAUGCUCCCUAGAGGUAAAAUACAUAUAAUCAGAAGCAGAUUUUUAUCAAGAGGUGAUCAUUCCAUGUGCUUGGGAACCUCCUGAUGGUGUAAUCAAACUGAACACUUAUGCUAGUUUAUCAAAGGAGCAUGCUGGCAUUGGUUUGAUGCGAGACAGCCAUGGCAAUGUUGUUUGUAUGUUUGCUAGUGGGACUCAAAAGGAAGACAAUCAUGUACCUAGAACUGCAGGCCAUAUGGGAAGGACUGAAGAUAUGCUUUAAUUUGGGGCUCAAGAAGAUCGAUAUUGCUUCUGACUCUCUAAAUGCUGUCAACUGCAUUAAUGAUCAACAGAAGGCACCAUGGUAUGUAAAGGAAAUGGUUAGAGGAAUUCAUGAAGUGUAUGCAGAGUUGAAGAUAUGCAAAUGCAUCCAUGUGUUCAGAGAAACAAAUGAAGCUGCUAAUCAUCUAGCUGGUCUGAAGGGCCCUCUGGAAAUGGCAACAUCUAUUCUACCCUUGUCAGAAAAGCUGGAGGAGAUGGUGGAAAAAGAUAGGAAUCAUGUAAUUAGAAACAGAGUCCUAUAAUUGUUUAUUGUAGUCUUUGUCUGUAGAGAGAGAACUAACUACUAGUGUGUGAAUUUGUAGAGAGUGGCAGGAUGCCAUGGGGGAUAAUGUAACUUUUCUCUAUAUUAAUACAAGAAAUGCUGCUUGCUUUUGAAAAAAAAAAAGCCCUGCUUAAGUAAUGUAUAAAUUUUAAGGCACCAAAUGGAAGUAACCAUCUUGAAUGAGCUGCCAGGCGAUGCGCAUAAACAUUUGUAUUUCUAUUUUUUGACAGACGAGUAAAUAUCAUGAGUUUUGUGGCAACUCCAUAUAUAAGUAAGUGUAGUGCCUCUUGUCUUUGAAACUAUAGCUACUGUCUCCAUAUGGGAUCUGCAACUACUGUAUCGUACCAUCGUUAACCCUCGCAACUCGCAAGUCUCUUUUUCUCAAUAUUUUGCUGCUGCAAAAACACAAGCCGAUUGGUAAAGAACUUGAAAUGUUAAGGUUUGGGCUUGGAUUAAAGAAAUGAAACAUAAUUGGACCUAGCUACACCUGCAAAUGAAAUGAACUUUAAAGAAACACACCCCUCUAGUCCUCUACAGCUGUACUAGAGAAUAAAUGUGUUUGUUUUACUUGCAAAAGAAAAUUAAAUCCUCGCCUUCUAUAUUUCAAAGAGCUUUUAAUCUUACGGUUAGAUACCAUGCCAUGUCACCAAUCCGUGUUAACUUUCUACCCCCAAUCAAACCUUACUUCAUUUCAUUUUUCAAUCUCCACCGUUAAUAUUGAAUUGCGUAUUUCAACGGGUAGAUCUAAAGCCAAGUCACCGAUCUGCACCAACACUAUCAAUCCAAUCAAACUUACUUUACUUCUCUAUAAAUACCAAUCCCAGUUUUAAUCUCUCUUCCACCAUCAAAUUUCUCUAUUUCCCGUUUCUGAGAUUUUCGUUUUGAAUUUCAAAUUUCAUUUUCAAUUAGUUGUUGAAAUGGCUCCGAAAGCAGAGAAGAAACCAGCUGAGAAGAAACCAGCAGCAGAGAAACCAACUGAAGAGAAGAAAGUUGUUGCUGAAAAAGGUCCCGCUGAGAAGAAACCUAAAGCCGGAAAGAAGUUGCCAAAGGAAGGCGGCGUUGCUGCAUCUGGUGAUAAGAAGAAGAAGAGAUCUAAGAAGAAUGUUGAAACCUACAAGAUCUAUAUCUUCAAGGUUUUGAAGCAAGUUCACCCUGAUAUUGGUAUCUCAAGCAAAGCUAUGGGGAUUAUGAACAGUUUCAUCAACGACAUCUUCGAGAAAUUGGCUCAAGAAUCAUCUCGACUUGCUCGUUAUAACAAGAAGCCUACCAUCACUUCUCGGGAGAUUCAAACUGCUGUUCGUCUUGUUCUUCCUGGUGAAUUGGCUAAGCAUGCUGUUUCUGAGGGUACUAAGGCUGUCACUAAGUUCACUAGUUCUUGAAAAAAAUCAAUCUAGGGUUUCAGAUAUUUGGGUAGUUUUAGGCUCAAUUGUUGAUGUUAUGAUGUAUAAUAUGAUGUGUUGACUUUGAAAAGAAACUAGGGUUUGAGAAAUUUUCUGUCAAUCUUAUGCUUGUCUGUGUUGAUGAUGUUUAAAUUGAACCAGUUAAUUGAAAUUGAACCAGUUUUUCAAUCUUUCUCAAGCUUUUUUUUUUUUUUUUUAAUUUUAUUUCUCUUAGCUCCUGAUUAGCUUCUCAGGGUUUGUGAUUUAUUUAGUCAAAUGGGGGGCAGAGACUUAUUAGCUUCUCAGCUUGUUCUUUGUUGUACAUAUUGGAAAAGUGGUAUUCCUUUGAGCUCGAAUAGAUUUUAUCUGAUUUGAGCAAAAUCCAUAUUUCAGAAUUCAUACUACUGUAUUGAAUUGAUGGAGCACCUAAUAUUUACACUUAAACCACAUAAUUGAUUAUCCUUAAUCCUGUGUGUUUGCACCUGUUGCCAUUUUCUCCAAGGUUUGAUCCUGGGUAUUUGUUGCUGUGCUUAGUUAUCUUUAAUGUUUUGUUUAAGUUUAUUGGAUUUUAUCAUUUGACUCCAAAAAUUUGCAUAAUCCUCUUGCUACAAUUCAUUUGGUCUUAAUUUGUUAGGCAUAUUGGAAGUGCUGAGAAUAUGACCAAAUGUUCAAAACAUUGAUAAAACCUGUUCAGUGUCACCUGAGGCCUGAUCCCUUCAGAAAUUAGGGUUCAACCACCUACUACCAUUGAUAAUGAUGGUUCUUCUUCUACAUACAGAGCCCCUUCAUCAUGAACAAAUUAUUCAACCGCAUGGUAACAGUUCAUGCUAAUGUCUUCCUACUACCAUUGUUGAUGAUGGUUCUACAUACUACAUUUACUGCUGAUUCCAAGAAUCUACACGCGACAUCUACUACUGGGAGUAGUCCACAAGUUUCUAUUUCAUGUCCUUUAAUUUGGAUCCAAAGAUCCUCUAUUCUCAAUAUAACAAAAUAUUGGGAUUCACCAACCUAUCUAGACCACUCUGAACUGGUCUGCAUUCUGCACUCCUAAGAAAGUGAUGGAGGUGUCCUUGUUUAACCAUAUACUGUAUUUAGAUGCAAACCAAUGUGGUAGUUUAGAGGAGAAUGAAACACCUCCAGAAGACUGGUUUUGGAAGGAUGUAAUCAGAGUAAAGAUGAAACUAAUAAAGUUUAGUGGAAAUUAAAACACAUCUAGAACAGUAGGGCUCCAACCUGGUCAUCUUUGAAACUAGCCAUGACACAGUGGCCUGCCAAGCAGGGUGAUAGCAUCCAGACAAGGAUGUGGGUUGUAUUACCUUAUGUAGUGGUCUGGUGCAUUUGGAACCUUCGAAAUAAUGUAAUUUUCAGAGAUCAGGAUGUUGUGGGGAUAUUAAAAGGAUUAAGGGGACUGUGGCUGUGGAUAAACAUGGAAAAGAAAGCUCCUGAACUCAGAGAACAGAUCAGAUUUGCAGAACUGUUAUUCAACAGGCAGGAAACUAUGGCCAAUGGAGGAUGAUACCCAGUACCCACUGCAGAACUGAUAAUGGGCAGACGUGAUGAAACAGACCUCAAUAUUUGUACUGCUGCGUUCUGGUAAACUUUUGUUUGCCGUGCACACUAGGGGAGAUGCUAAUGUAUGCUGAAAUAGGUUGCAGGGUGUAACUGGUUAGUAAUCUGUAAGGCAGACUGACCAGUAUGUGUUCGUACUAUACUGGUUUAAUUUAUAAAAUUUCAACAUUUGAUAAAAAAAUUAAAGUAAAAAUAAAAAAAUUGAAACACAUCCAGAAGCCACUAGUAACAAAAGGAGGCCGAUUUUGUGAAGACUGCUCAUGUAUUAUAUAAGGGGCCAAACAUUAGACUAUACAAAGUCACAUAAAUAAAUAUGUGACACAGUAAUAAUAACUCUAAUAUAUCCUACAAUUGACAAACAAACUCUUGUUUAAAUAAAACUUUAAUACUAUGAAAAUAAUCAAUAAUCAGCUAAAAACACAUUUGAAAUAAAUGGACAAUCUCAUUCAAGUGAAAAUCAAAUUUCUAUCGAAACAGAAAAUGUACUUGAGCUUACUAGUCCAGCUUCAGAGAGUAAUAAAAAUCAUCUCAGCAAGUCUGAAGAGCAGAAGAUCGAAUUUCCGAGUAGAGCAACACCUCCCCUGCCAUUUGAAAUAUUCGCAAGGGGGCUGCCUGAUUCUCUACUUAAUCACAAUAUCAAUAUAUAUCAAACAAACACACUACAAUGUAAUCAUCAAAACACUGAAGAGAGAGUAAUGACGUGUAUAGGUGAUAAAAAAGCUGAAUAGGCGGAGAAAGCAUAUAGCAGAGAUGCUUAAAUAUUUUUCAACAAUUAUCCACCAAAAAAACACACAGAAACAUACUAUCAUGUCAUCUUACCACACUACAAUAUGAGAUUAUAGCAAAUUCCAUAGGGCAUGACUGAUUUGGGCAUUAUACAGAACCUACAGGUUUCACGGAGCUACAAAACUCUCCCCAUGUUACAAUAAUGUUUCACUACUCCACAAUUUACUUUCUCUAAGUAAUAAUAAUCCAAUGAUACCAAGAAGGGCAAAAAAAAAAGGGAAACCACUGGAGUAUCCAGCCUUUUCUCCUGACACUGGCAAGUUGUGUAUGGGGCAAACUGCACAUGGCUUGUGGAAUCGUUCUGAAACAAUGUUGACAGCAUUUGUGUGUGUGUUUGGGGGGUGGGGAGAUCAUUUUGAUGCAAAUAUCAAGGUUACCCGAAUUAAGUUGAUUUUGUUAAUAUUAUAUUUGCAAGAAGAACAGGUAAUUUUUCAGCCCAUUAUAUGAUGGCAUCAGUUUUGGGAAAAGGUAGUAUACACUCGGCUAUGAGUACACUAUAUGCUCUCUUAUCAGUCAUGAUAUAAUAUAAACAGAAUACAAUAUGUAUUAUAGGGUCCAACCAUUAGACUAUCCAUCGCGACAAUGCAAAAUUACUUCAAUAAAUAUGGAACACAGUAACUCUAAUAUAUGCUUAUCAAAAAAAAAAACCUCUAAUAUAUCUUACAAUUUACAAACAAACUCUUGUUUAUAUAAAACUGUAAUACUGUGAAAAAUAAACAAUAAUCAGCUAAAACACAUUUGAAAUAAAUGGACAAUCUCAGUCAAGUGAAAAUCGAAUUUCUAUCGAAAGAGAAAAUGUACUUGAGCUUACUAGACCAGCUUCAGAGAGUAUUAAAAAUGAUCUCAGCAAGUCUGAAGAGCAAAAGAUCUAAUUUCUGAGUAGAGCAACACCUCCCCUGCCAUUUGAAACAUCCGCAAGGGGGCUGCCUGAUUCUCUACUGAUUGACGGUAUCAAUAGGCAUCAAUCAAUAUCACAACAAUGUAAUCAUCAAAACACUGAAGAGGGAGUAAUGACGUGUAGGUGAUAAAAAAGCUGAAUAGGUGGAGAAAGCAUAUAGCAAAGAUGCUUAAAUAUUUUCCAACAAUCAUCCAUCGAAAACACACACAAAAAGCAUACUAUCAGGUCAUCUUACCACACUAUAAUAUGAAAUUAUAGCAAAUUCCAUAGGGCAUGACUGAUUUGGGCAUUUUACAGAACCUACAGGUUUUAGAUAGCUACAAAACUCUCCCCAGUUUACAAUAACGUUUCACUACUACACAAUUUUCUUUCUCUAAGUAAUAAUAAUCCAAUAAUACCAAAAAACGAAAAAAAAAAGGAAACCACUGGGGUCUAAAGAUAUAUUGUGGAGAUAAGAUGAAACACAACUACCUACCUUCCCCUGAGGCCAAAAUUUCACAUCGACUUGCAGAAUGGUCUGGACUUGUUCUCCUUAUAGAUUGCAACAGAGGUACAGCUAUAUGGUCUCUGUCCAGCUUUUUCCCCUGACACUGGCAAGUUGUGUCUGGGGCAAACUGCACAUGGCUUGUGGAAUCAUUCUGAAACAAUGUUGACAGUAUUUGUGUGUGUGUGUGUUUGGGGGGUGGGGAGAUCAUUUUGAUGCAAAUAUCAAGGUUAUCCGAAUUAAGUUGGUUUUGUUAAUAUUAUAUUUGUAACAAGAACAGGUAAUAUUUCAGCACAUUGUAUGAUGGCAUCAGUUUUGGGAAAAGGUAGUAUACACUUGGCUAUGCUAGAUGCAGCUGUAAGUACACUAUAUGCUCUCUUCUCAGUCAUGAUAUAAUAUAAACAGAAUACGAUGCUAUAAUAAUUAUAAUUCAAACCACCAAUGCUCCUCAUUUUGGUUCUUCUACUCAAAAUAGAGUCAACUAUUCAAAACAAAGAUUUACAAGAACAUAGAAAAAAAACAUCCAACUGAACUCAAAUUGUGUUCCUCUUUAUUUGUACGUAAUAAUACAUCUGCAAGAAACCAAGCAAAACAUCUUUGCUCUCUCAGCAACUUCUUCCUUAACUUUAGGAAAACAAGAACCUUAAGCACACUAUUCUUCAUUUAAAUUUCAUCAAUCUGGUUAAGCGAUGACCAAUACCACCUAGUGAAACUGAACCGGAAUCCCCUAAAUGCUGAAACCAAUGAAAGAUCUGAUACAUAACGGAUAAGGCAGACAUCUGGAGCAAGAUUGGGUUAAGCUUGGAUGUAUAAUACAAGACUGAAUUGAAACUAUCAUAGGUGAGGCAAAUGGAUCCCAUCUUCAGAUAUAUCAGAUAGUAAAACGAAGUCACACCAGCUAGGUACAUAAAUGAUAUUCGAUGGAAAAUUGAAGACAUAGAACUACUCUGUGGCUUAUAAACAGGAAGAUGAGGAGAUAAAGGACGAAGGUUACUGGUGCUAUACCUCCUUGUUGCGACAACACCAACUGCUGCUACUGCUGCAGCAGCUACUUCUUUGCCAGAUUCUCCUUUACCCAACCCUAAUCCAGCCAUGUUGUGCAUCAUCCUUGAGUUGUUCAGCUCCUUGGCAUCAUUCAACAUACCACUGAUUCCUUGAGAUGCUGUGUUGUUAGUGAUUGGAUUACUCUUCAUUAAUCGAUCCAUCACCUGGCUUAAGCUCCUUGUUUGUGACACAUCUACAAGAAGAAUGAACUUAAUCAAUCAAUCACAAAUCAAAGCUAAAACCAAACAACCCCACAAACCAAUCAAUCAAUCAGAAACAAUAAAAAAAAAAAAUCAACUCGAAAGUCGAACCCCUUCACACAAAAAAACAAUCAAAACAACCCCAAUAGAUCGUUUUAUUUUAACUUUUCAAAGAAAUGAUAAUAACGAGCAAAUCAAAAUGAGGGUUUUGAACAGAUUACUUUAUUGACUCAAAUCAGAACAUUUUUAACUAUAAAUCUUAGCUUAUUUUCACAAACAAUUUCAUUCAAACUAGUCAGAUCUGAAUAAUAAACAAGGCAUUAACGAAGACUAGCUGAGGAGAGAGGAGAAGAGAAGAAAUACCUGAGAAGUGACGAACACCAGUUUCAGGAAGAAAGCAAUCAGAUGCAGUAGUAGCAGAAGAACGAAGAAAUGUUUGGUGAAACAAUUUGAAUUUGUUGUUCAAGAUGUCUGAAGAUCUCCUUUUCAAAAUCAUCGAUGACGAAGAAGCCAUUUUUUUUCUCUAUCAGAACCUUGAUGAGAGAGAGAGAGAAAAAGUGUCUCACACUCACACCACUACACCAGUCCUUUUCUUUAAUUAACCCUAAACUUGUUCAUGUGUGAUUUAGCUUAGGGGCGCUCACCAUAAAAGUAAAGUAUCCUUGGGGUGUAUAUAUCGAAAAUAUCGUAACUUGUUUACUCGAUGUCACGUACAUAUCCUUUCGGGAAAUGAAUUCCAAUGUUGUUGCCUAACGGCCCCUAAUCUCUAUUUUUUUUUUUUUUUUUUUUUUUUUAAUUUCUCAAAAAACCACCACAUUUAGGUUAAGGGUGGCAAUCAAACCUGGUGACUCGAAACCCGACCUGAACCUGACCUGAUCUGGGUUAGGUUUGGGUUUAGAUAUUUGAAGAUUUUUGGCUGAUCAGGUCGACCCGAACCUAAAAAAAAUUUUUUUUUUUUAGGUAGGGGGUUUUACACUUUUAUCUUUCUAUAUACUCUGCGGCUCUUUCUCUCUCUUGGAUUUCAAUUAAUCAAGGUGGAUCGAAUUUCACUCCUCUGGUUCUUCUUCUUCUUCGUCUAUUGUCUACUUCGUACACCAACAAACUCACUUCCGAUUUAUUUUUACUCGACUCGACUGAAUUUGUUUAAUUUUAAGUAAGACCCAUUUGAUUUUCUGUUAAAAGUUCAUUUUGGGUUAAGCUAUACUUUGAUUAAUUAGUGUUUUAUGGCGUUUUGAGCAAAAUCCAUUUCAAAUUCUUUUUUAUUUUGAUUUUAGUUUCACUACAAAAAUAUUGCAAAGAAAUCUUGGUUGAUUGUCAUGAAGAAUCCAAUGGAAUGAAGCAUCAAUAAUUGUGGUUUUCUUGUUUAGUUCCAUUGAAAAUAUUAUUUAAUAUCUUGCUCCUAUUGUUUACGGAUCGAUUUUAACAACUUAUGUUAUUAAUUAUAGAUAACAUACGAUGAAUUCAUGAUGUAAUAUUUUGAUUUUUUUAUGAUUCAUUCUAUUUGUUUGAUAAGUUUUAGUUGUAUACUUUAGUUAUAUUAAGUCAUCGUGUAUUCAUGUAUUUUUAUAAAUAAUAUUUGCUUAAAUUUUUUUUUUUUUUUUUUUUUCCAGGUUUUCAGGUCGACCCGAACCUGACUUGAUAACCUGACAGGUCAGGUUCAGGUUUCACUUUUACAAAAAAAAACCUUCAUCAGGUCAGGUUCAGGUUUGAGGGUUAAGACCUGAAAACCCAACUGACCCGACCUGAACCUGACCCGACCUGACCUGAUUGUCACCCCUAAUUUAGGUGCUUCUUCCAAAAUAGUCACUUAGGAGAGGUAAUCUUCCCAAACAGCCACCUUACCUCACCACUUUAUACUUUUCAGAUUUUUUCUUACCUAAACUACCCUUUGUACUUAUGACAAACCUUUUUACUUUGAUUUGACCAAGUACAAACUGAUGUGACCCCUUGACAAUAACCUAUAUAGAAAUCACAACUAUUGAUUUUGCUAGAAAUGAGAGAUUAAAUCACAACCGUUUAUUCAGAUGUAUUUACAAAACUACCCUUAACAGUUGUUUCCAACUAAAUGACGUGUAAGGCUGAGAUUAAACAUGGAUUUGUGCAAAAAACGAAAAGAUGACACGUGUUUAUAGCCGAGGGUAAUUUAGGUCGGAAAUUUUUGAGAAGAUAAGAAAAUUAGGAGUGGCAAUCGUGUCGGGUCGUGUCAGAUUCGUGUCGGGUCUUAACGGGUUGAUGUGUUUUUUCUCUAAACCCGAACCUGACCUGUUAACCUGUUUAGUAUUUUUUUCUAAACCCGAACCCAACCUGUUUAAUAAACAGGUCGGGUUCGGGUUAACCUGUUUAAACCCGCUUCAGAUUUAAAUUAAAACUACUAGUAAAAGACAAAAUUAAAAAAAAUAUUCUUGAAAAAUAAGGGGACGGUGAAAUAAACAAUUAUUAUAAAGAGCAUAGAGAUGAAAAAUGUUAACAUUAAAGCCAAUUAUAAACAUAAUUAGGAGCAUCAAACUUGAGUUUUAAAAAUAAAAAAACACCGAUCUGGUUUCAAUUGAUUAAUUAAAACAUCAUGCUCCUUAAACCCAAAACAAAUCAAUUGAAAAACAAGAAAAAUAUUCACACAAUCUCUAACUUUGAUAUAGAAAAAUAAGAACCACCAACAAACAAGUUUUUAAUAAUCAAUUCAUUACUACUAUAUAUUUCUACAUAGUUAAAGAAGAAAAAAAAAACGAUUGUUGAAAAGAGAUGAAAAAUGAGGGAUGGAGAGAUGAUUUCAAAACUUAAAAUAAAAAAUAUUAAUUUUUAACGGGUUUCGGGUUGACCCGACCUGUUAGUGGUCAAACCCGAACCUGACCUGUUUAUAAACGGGUCUAACAAGUUCGGGUCAAAAUGACCCGAAAACCCGAUAAGACUAAACCCAAACCUGUUUAUCUUAGGUCGGGUUCGUGUCGGGUUAACGGGUUGCGGGUCAUUUUGCCACCCCUAAAGAAAAUGAAUUCCAAUUGUUGCCGAACCGCCCCUAAUCUCUAUUUUUUUUUUUUUUUUUUUUUAAGAAAAUACUAAUUCUAUUGAUAGAAAGAAGAUUACAUCAUACAAGAGGCUAACCGAAUGUCCGGGCCAGCUUUCGCGCACCUCGACACUCCAAUGGCUAGUUUUGUAUUUCAACCUAAACCUAUUACAUCGCUAACCGAAUGUCUGGGCCAGGUUAUGUGCACCUCGACACUCUAAUGGUUAGCUCGGUAUCUACCUUACUUUUCUCUCUCUCUCUUUUUUUUUUCUCUCUCUUGGGUGCUGGAACCAGUCCUAUGCCUGGAGGCCAGCUACCCACGCACCUCGGCAUCCUAAUCUCUAUUCUCUAAUAUAUAUAGUCCUGCCUUCCUGUCGUUGCCCAUAUACUAGCAGCGCUGAAACUUCUCAUUCCUGCUGUUGGUAGAAGGCCAUGUCUUCUGCUGCAGUUGAUGAUGUAAUUGCAUGGAUUCUAUUAAGCUAUUAGCCCUUGCUGUUGCACUCAGUAGCAUAGGGGCUGCUCCCUUUGUCUUUUUUCACAAGUUCUUCUCUGUAGGCCGGUGUCUGUUUAUAAUUGUUGCCUUACUACUCUUUCUAGUCUUUCAUCCAAUGUUCUCAUAAAACGCAAGGGUUGUCAAUUGCCACAAAAGUGAACCUGACGCAGUGACUUGAGAUUAGUUGGAGAAACUGCGAGAUUGAAUAUCAGACAUUUAACCUCAGUCUCCAGUUUUUUCGUUUCAUUUUGACCUUGUUCCUUUUCCUAGUAAAACAUGAGAUAGGGUAACAUAGACGAGGCAAAUGAGAUUGGUCAAGUUUCUGUGGUUAGGAGUGGCUAAUCUUUCACAUAUCACCAUUACACUUUUGAAUUCUGUUUUUCAAGUUUGAAAUAGUAUUUGUUACGGUGAUUCUGUUGACAGUUUUGGGUGUAUGCACCACUUUAAUUGAGAAACUCAAACCAACAUUCUAUUUUAGUCUGGAUACCAACAGAAAAUGGGUCGCUAUUCAAAGUUAUUUGAAAACUCUUGAUGCAAAGAAAUGGAAAUUCAAAGCCCCUGUUCUUUUCAAUGUCAACGUUAACAACAUCAAGUUCACCACACCAACCAUGACAAAAAAAAACAAACUAAAACAACAAGUAGGUUAUCUUAGGUUGUAUGUUGUUUUUACUUUGGUGGGGAAUAGGUUUAACACAAAGAUGGAGCUUAUCCUUUUUGGUAAAUCAUGGAAAGAAAAGCAACAAACAAUAAUAUUUUUUCACAUGAAUUGCCUUGUGUGCACUUGAUCUAAGAUAAGACAGAUAAAAAAUUUAUUGCACAAUGAAUCAACCUAUUUGAUCUCUGAUCCGAGUUUGACCAAGAGGCAAGUCCAAUUUCCUGCUGUCUUGCCAGCAAAUACAUUUGGAAGUACAAUUCUGCAGGCCUCAUCUCUGGUGGCCAUGAAAGCCAUUCACGCUGAAGGCUUCUCUUCUACUUUGCCUUAGAACGAAGGGUAACUUCUGCUUGAGCUAGCAAAGCUGAAACAAAAGGUAAAGGAAUAGAGAACAUAUCUUGAGCUUUGGUGAGGCAUUUCACUGCAAGUUGUAAAAUAUGGGAGUUACAUACAGUUCAUCUUGAGCUUUGGUGGAGGCAUUUCUUGAAGCAUAACACAGAGGUGCCUAGGAUUUUUCUCUUUGCUUGCCUUCUGCAAUAGAUUAAGAUCAAGCAAAUACCGAGCAUUGUGAUUCCCUUGAGUGAUUUGAGCUCCAUUCCUCCAUGCAUGAACUGAUCUUUACAAAUGGGAAAAGAAAAUCUGGGUCAGGUGAUACCAAUUUCAGAACAAGCAAUUCCUGCAGCACCAAGGAUCUCAAGUGCUGGUUUCAGACUUUUAACUCGGUCACCAGGAGGGUCUAUCACAAUGCACCUAACUGCAGUAUGAUCCCUUCCAUUCUUUACUACAUAGCAAGAGAUAGCAAGUUGAUUCUUUACAGUACUACUGUUAGGUACACAUGAAGAAAUUUUCUCGGAUGAGCAAUUCACUCCAACUUCCCAGCCUUUGAUCUGUUCCAUUUCUCAUUGUUUUAGUGGGAGGUGUGAGUGCUUGAAACAACUAGGUUGUUUAGUAUGAUCUAGAGCAUCAAGGGCAGAUACAAUAAAAUUGAUUUUUGAAUUCUCUAAAAAUUCUUUUAGCACUCUUAAAAUGCUAGUCAGGUGCUUGCCCCGAAAUACGGUAUAACAACUUACAGACUAAACUUAUUAUAGAGGCUGCAGCAGUUGAUUGAUCCAUGGUAGAAACAUUUGCAGCUAGGAGUCUUGCUAUAGAAAGGGCCUGUUCAUGCUUUCCAAAUAAGAAGGAUAAUAAUUUGCAUAAUUUGGUCACCAUGGGUUUGUCCCUGAAUGUUUAAAGGUGAUGAAAUCAAAUUCUUUAUGUUUAACACUAAUUUUGAACUUUGCAAACAACUAAAAUAGGAAUUGAAGGUUAAAAUUAACAAUAAAUCACAUUAUAAAGUGAAAAAUCAAACACACCCUUGAAAUUCGCAUGUCAAGGACAAUAACCUCUUAAAUAGCAUGGGUGAUUACCUAGAAGCUGUAGAGAUGAAAAAAAAAAUACUAGUAAGUAGUAUUGCUUUUGGACUAAUAAAAGUGUAGAAAACUGUGUGACCCAAUAAGAUCAAUGUGACGCAUGGCAAUGUGGACAGCAAAUUAGAUCAAUGUGAUGCAUGGCAAUGCGGACACAAAUAAGAUCAAUGUGAUGCAUGGCAAUGUGGACAGCAAAAGAAGUAGGCAACAAAGUACUGAUGAGAGACGUUGUGAAAAACAUGGAUACUAAGCAGAGAUGGUUUUCUUGUGAACUAAUAAAAAAACAGAUAUAAUACUGGAGAAUAGGAAGUAACUAAUCGCCAAUUCAAAUGUUAAAAAAUAAUGAAAAUAACAAUCGACAACUCAAUCCAAGAACAGUUUCCAUUGGUGUUUUCUUCAGCCCUGUAUAGACAUAGCAACUCCUACACUUGCAAUGCAACAAAAAAAACAAAAAAACCCUCCUAGCUCCAAUGGAUAUAGUGUUCAAUACUAACGAGCACACACACUGAUAGGGGAUGGGUACAACAUUACAAAAACCAUCAAUGAAUGGAAAGGGUUAAAGCUGAAAACACAAAAGAUGAGCCAAUUGAUCCGCAAAGAGGGCAAUUUAUAAAUUGAAAUCAAACUUUUAUCAUCAUUCUUCACGAAAAGUCGCUUCGAUUAAGAUGAACGCAUAGUUUACUAAAAUCAUAAAAUGAAUGCUGGAGGUCAAUGCUGAACAAAUAAGAUGAACGUUUGAUGUAGAGAGUUCUGACGAGGAGUUAAAAAACGGUCAUGUGUAAGCACACCCACCCUAUUUUGUAAAAAGGCCAUGAUAGUGAGUGCCCAAUUCACAUGGCUUCAUCCCAUUCAUGAGUUUCUGCUUGUAUUAUAUAUGAUAACGUGAAUCAACAUUCAACAAUAACAUUUGCUAGGCUAGCGGAAUAUUGGACUAACUCACCUACAAGGAACUCGAACUACCCAACAUAGGCUACAAAGUACAAAAACCGCCUUCCCGGCCAAAGACUAAAGAACUUGACAUCCUAAGAGCUAGGGGUGGCAAUCGUGUCGGGUUCAGGUCGGGUCUUAACAGGUUGGGGUGUUUUUCCCCUAAACCCGAACCUGACCUGUUAACCUGUUUAACUCUUUACCCUUAAACCCGAACCUGACCUGCUAAUUAAACAGGUCGGGUUCAGGUCGACCUGUUUAGACCUGUUUUCUUAAAUACAUUGUAAAUUUGUAAUGGACUAAUGGGCCUGUUUAAACAAUUAAACCUGCUAAGUAAAUAUGAUUUUCAGCAGCCUCACAAAUCACAAUAUCUAAUAAACAGCCUCACAAAUCACAACAUUAUAACAACAGCCUCACAAAUCACAACAUUAUAACAACAGCCUCACAAUAAUAAUAAUAAAAAGUGCAAGCAACAUCUGCAUGCACAAUUGCACAUACAACUGAGAAACAGAACAUACAACAGAACAUACAACGUCACUUUACUUUUAAAAUGUGAUUUAGCCAAUGCAUUCACAGUGUAAAAACCUAACAGGAGAAGAAAUAUUUUCAUGGGGAAGUUCUUUCUAGUUUCAUUAAGCCUCUGUAACAACCGCCUUCCACUGGCACCAACUAUUCUUCCCAAACGAGUCUGGCCAAGACCAGAAUUACCACCAUUAACGUUGUCUUGGCCUCCAAUAUCAGGUGUUCCUCCAGUGUCUAAUGCAAAGGAUAUUCUCCACAGAGGUCUACAUCUCUGACACCUGAUUACACACAAGAAAAAUGAGGAUGAAAUCAAUUUGACUGGGAAUACUGUAUCCCAAAUCAACAUUUAUAACAUGAUUAAAUAUUUAUGCAGGCUCACACAUCUUGUUCGACUUUUAGUACAGGAAGUAGUUCGAACAAAAUUAGUGAUGUUUGAUAGGAUAAACUUUGUAGAUUCAUUGUGGAUGUAUCCGCACUCUCUUUCGAUCAAAAUUGUGCACAGUUAUUGGUUACCAGCAGCCAUAACAUUUUAUUGCAUUAAAGACUAAUAUUCACUGUACUCCCCUAGAUGUCACAAUGCAAAUUAUAACGUUACUGAUUUCCUUUGAAAUGAAGUGGAAGUGCAUUCUUCUUCCUUGCGAAGCUGUGGAGUAGAAGAUUCCAAAUUUACCAACACUUGAAUUAAAUUUUUUCCGAUCAAGAUAUUACUUACUUUUCUGAUACACGACACAGCAACAUCACUUUACUUUUAAAAUGUGAUUUAAAUCUAGGUGCAACUAACACGACUUUCAACUUAAGAUAUAUUAUUAUGAGAUUUAGAGUAUUAAGCAACAAAUCAUCCCAUUCAUCUCAAUUUGAAUAAAAAUCAAAGCUUUAGCAUUAAUUUAAGAAAACAAACAUAUUAAAGCAGUGCAAUUGCGAAAACUCAAAACAAGUUUGACUGAAUAAGAUAAAAGGGGAGCUGAAUCCAACCUGAAAUGAAACAAAUUUCCCAGAAGCAGCAAGAACACACAUUGAAGUUGAAGAAGAAGAAGCAGCAAGAACAGCAAUUGAGAUGAAGCAGAAGAAGAAGAAGCAGCAAUGCAAUUGAUGAAGUUGAAGAAGUUGAAGAAGUUGAAGAAGAAGAAGAAGAAGAAGAAGCAGCAAGAAGAAGAAGAAAAAGCAGCAAGAAGCCAAGAACAGACGUUAAUGGUGGCUCACUAGUUUGUUCAUUGUGGCGGACUGGCGGCCAAGAAGAAAAUGACCCUAACCAGGAGAGAUAGGGUAUUUUUUCAUUUUAUACUUAGGGUUUUUUUAACGGGUUUCGGGUCUGACCCGACCUGUUAAUAUUCAGACCUGAACCCGACCUGUAUAUUAAACAGGUUAACAGAUUCGGGUCAAAAUGACCCGCCAACCCGAUAAGGCUAAACCCAAACCUGUUUAUAUCGGGUCGGGUUCGUGUCGGGUUAACGGGUCUCGGGUCACUUUGCCAGCCCUACUAAGAGCUAAGGAGCAUAUGGCAGUUAACAAAAAAAAUAUUCGCUUUUGACACUAUAAUAAUCAAACUACAAGCUAUUAUUGCUUUUACAAAAAAGGGAAAAGACCCCCAAAAAAAAAAAAAAAUCAACCACAGAGGAUGACUAUUCAAGUACCUCAGUAUCUUGACAUAGCAAUCCAAGAAACAGUCUCCAUUGGUGUUUUCUUAAUCGCAUUAGACAUAGGACUUGUAUGCCUGCAGUGCAUCACAGUUCCAGACAUGCCUCUCUGGUCUGCAUCUGGUUGUUUCAUUUUUAUUUUAUUUUCCUAGCUACAAUGGAUCUAGUUCCCAAACACAUUGCACACCCACUCAAUAUAAAAUCCACAAGCAAAGGCAGAAGGGUACAACAUCACAAAAGUCAUCAAUAUGAAGAGGUAGGGGUCAAAGCUGAAAAUAAAAUAAAAACGAAAAAAACAGACGCAGAGACCAGAGAGACAUGAUGAGUACUUAUAAUUUAUAAGACCUACCUUCGUAGAAAACACGGGCACAGUGAAUAAGGAUUGUGCAAUUAACAUUUUGUAAUAAGGUACACAGGCCAGUAGCAUAUAACAUUUGCUCGGGCUUAGCAGAAGAAUAAAAAUUUAAGGAGUGCCCAAUUCACAUCCUGAAAAGGGGGGUCCAUCCAAUUCAUGAGUUUCUGCUAGUAUUAUAUGAUAACAUGAAUCAACAAUAACAUUUGCUAGGCUCACGGAGUAUUAGACUCUGUCUGAACUACAAGGAACUCCAACUACUCAACUUACAAUAGGCUACAAAAUAUAACAAACACCUACCCAGCCAAAGACAAAAGAACUUGACAGCAUGCCUAAAGAGCUAAAGACCCAUAUGGCAGUUAACUCAAACUACAAGCUAUUAAUUUUCUUAUAAAUAGAAUAGAUACCAGUAAUCAAUCUAUCAAUAUAGACUAGAAAGUAGAAACCUUAAUAUUGCAAAAAUACUAGUCAGUGUGGUGUGAUGGGUAACAAAAGGAGUAUAAAAUCAAAAGUAAUUCUGUAACAGAGGAUGACCACAUCAGUCAGUACUCAGUACCUUGACACAGCAAGCAGUUAUAAACAUAAACAAACCAUCACGAGAUGUGAUCGAUCACAAAACACCAAAUCUUACGCGCUUAUUCGAGCUGCAAGUUUUCAAGUUCUUCUUGAGGAGGGUCAACGUUGAUGGUUGUUUUAUGCUUUUUCAGCUGCUUAUUCAUCUCCUUUUGAGCUAAAAAAUUCGCCAAAGUCUUGUGGUUCUUGCUAAGGCAAUGGCGCUUGAAUCCAUUCUCGUCCCUGCAUUGCUUUUUGCAUAACUCACAAUACCCUCUGCGCAUUGAACGAAUUUUGAUUAUCUUAGGUUGAGGAGGGUCAACGUUGAUGUUUUUUUUAUGCUUUUUCAGCUGCUUACUCAUCUCCUUUUGAGCUAAAAAAUUCGCCAAAGUCUUGUGGUUCUUGCUAAGGCAAUGGCGCUUGAAUCCAUUCUCGUCCCUGCAUUGCUUUUCGCAUAACUCACAAUACCCUCUGCGCAUUGUACGAAUUUUGAUUAUCUUAGGUUGAUGCAUCGAUCCAUCCAUCUAUCUUCCUGCAAACUCCUCGGCGGAACUAGAUCUAGAGAGAGAAGGGAAUAAAAAAACACCAAAUCCCUAAAUCGAGAGAAAGAGAGAGAAGGAGAGAAUCGAAUCGAUCUAUCUAUAUAUAUACACAAGCCCCACCGUCUCAAAAAGGAUUUGGGCCCAAAGGGCUUUUUGAAUUAAAAUCGAUACUCAAAGCCCAUUAUAGAUAGAUAGAGUAUAGACAGACAAACAAAAAGAGAGGGUAUUUGAAUUCUGUUAUUUGUCGGAAAGAACCAGAUCACUUUCACCACUUUCUUUCCUCGUUUCUUCAAUUCACUCACUGAGGUACCAAUUACCAAAUCUCGCUCUCUUUCAAUCUCUAAUCUUUUAUUAUUCUUAAAUAGUAAUGAGAAUGGUUUCGAAUAAGAAAUUAUCUUAUUAAACUUGAGUAAUAACAUCUUUUUCAUGAUUUGUUUUUUUAUUUGGGAUUUAAAGUAAGUUUACAUUUUCGUCAUUUCUAGGUAUUACACUACAAAUGGGAAAAAUGAAAUCUCAAGUUGUUUUGGACAAAGCCACUGGUGAAGAAUUGUACUUAAUCGCCCUUAUCUUUUCUUUCCAUAAAAACAAGACAACUUUUUAUGGAUAUAGUAUUUUAAAGACAGAUUUAACCAUUUAAAGAUGAUUAAGAUUUGACCGCUAGUCUUAAGUUCCCUUGAGGUGAAGAACAAGAACAAGAAUACAAGAAUACAAGGUGUAUCUAAGAAAAAACGAUUCGGAAUGACAUGCUUUUUUUCCUAUGUUUAUCUUCUCCUUCUUAAGUUCCUUUGAGAAGAAGAACAAGAAUACAAGAUCUAUCUAAAAAAAGAUUUUCUUGAUGGAUUAGGAAAAAAAAAAAGAUUUUCCUUUUUUUAAGAUGGGCAAAUCUGUCACUAAAUAUUAGUUUUUUUUUUAUAACGGAUAUGUCCGUACACAUUUGAGGGCAAUUAGGUCAUCCACGUAGUAAACCAUUGGCAAGACCAAUUAGGCCCUUGGCAAAAUCUGGAGCUAAUAUUAAUCCAAACCCUUCAUAUUUCAUUUUCCAGAAAGGUCUUCUUUGUACGGUUAGAUCUUACGACAAGUCAUAAAUCCGUGUCACACCUAAAGGAACCAAUCAGCAUAGUCCAACGAAACUCCUCUUUCCGUUUCAAUCCAUGCCGUUUAUAUUCCAUUGUUUGAGCAAUUGUAAUUCUACGGCCAGAUCUUAUGCCAGGUAAACGAUCCUUGUGAGUAUUAUUUCACCAAUCAUAUCAAUUUAUUUCUCUAUAAAUAAGAAACCCAAUUCUCAUUUUCUCUUCACACCAUCUGUCUCUCUCUCUCUUCUCGUUCUCUCAAAUUGUUUUGUGUUUCUUUUUCAAUUAGUUGUUGAAAUGGCUCCGAAAGCAGAGAAGAAACCAGCUGAGAAGAAACCAGCAGCAGAGAAACCAACUGAAGAGAAGAAAGUUGUUGCUGAAAAAGGUCCCGCUGAGAAGAAACCUAAAGCCGGAAAGAAGUUGCCAAA
rnacentral:lncRNA from 1 species